CCUCUCUAGCAACAGGCAAAGAGACACCUUGUUGGUGGCAGUGUUCCUAUAUCAGUCAGGGACAGAGCAGAUGGCAUCCCUUUGUCCAUCCUAGCUUGAUGCCUGGCAAGGUGGCCAGAGCUGUCUCAUACCUAGGACUCAUAA